rnacentral:rRNA from 1 species
UACAGAGGUCCCAAGGCGUUGUUCGGAUUUACUGGGCGUAAAGGGUGCGUAGGUGGUUGGGUAAGUCUGAUGUGAAAUCUCCGGGCCUCAACCCGGAAAUGGCAUUGGAUACUAUUUGACUAGAGGGUUGGAGGGGGGACUGGAAUACUUGGUGUAGCAGUGAAAUGCGUAGAUAUCAAGUGGAACACCAGUGGCGAAGGCGAGUCCCUGGACAACUCCUGACACUGAGGCACGAAAGCUAGGGGAGCAAACAGG